rnacentral:siRNA from 1 species
AAUCGUUGGCAACUAGUAAACGGA